rnacentral:piRNA from 1 species
UCGAUCAUAUGAGCCUCCAAAUUUGGG